GACGAACGCUGGCGGCGUGCUUAACACAUGCAAGUCGAACGGAAAGGCUCCAGCUUGCUGGAGUACUCGAGUGGCGAACGGGUGAGUAACACGUGGGUAAUCUGCCCUGCACUCUGGGAUAAGCCUGGGAAACUGGGUCUAAUACUGGAUAUGACCUUUCUCCUUAUGGGGUUUGGUGGAAAGUUUUUCGGUGUAGGAUGAGCCCGCGGCCUAUCAGCUUGUUGGUGGGGUGAUGGCCUACCAAGGCGACGACGGGUAGCCGGCCUGAGAGGGUGACCGGCCACAUUGGGACUGAGAUACGGCCCAGACUCCUACGGGAGGCAGCAGUGGGGAAUAUUGCACAAUGGGCGGAAGCCUGAUGCAGCGACGCCGCGUGAGGGAUGACGGCCUUCGGGUUGUAAACCUCUUUCAGCAGGGACGAAGCGUAAGUGACGGUACCCGCAGAAGAAGCACCGGCUAACUAUGUG
rnacentral:rRNA from 1 species